CCAAGGAUGAAUAGGCUAUAAAAAUCUUCUUUUUUUCUUCAUAUAUGCCUUGCUUGCACAGUUUCCCUACAAGAUAAAGUUCAAAAAUGGGCAUUAAAAACAACGGCAACUGACAGAACAGCUCGCGAGGGAUGAUUUAAUUCAAGGACUUUUUGCAUUUGCGUAAACAAAAAUCAAAUAUUCACUUUUACUCACCGGAGUUCUCCAAGAACACAAAAGCACGGUACGCGAAAUCACAGCAUGCGCUACGAGGACAACGCGUCUCUUUCUUUUCGAAGUAAAGUCAUCUUUUUUGCGUGAAACAUUUAUUAUUAUUAUUUUUUAAGCGAUUGGAAACUUGCUGUGGAGGACGCGUUGAGAUAACGAAUUUAUUGAAUAUGAAGAAUCAAACAGGAUACUGUGAAACAACAGGCAGUGAGCGGUUCAUGAUGAGCAACGUCAAAAUGGGCCCCGUGUUCAAGGGUCACGCAGCGGCAGCGCAGAAGGAGCGUCUCCCGCCCGAAGGCGCUGGCUCUUCAGCAUAUGAUUCUCAUGCAGCACCUUGGACAGGGUUCGCAAGCUCCUUCCCGACACCCCUCACUAACUCUCUCCUACGGUCAAAAUGGUCCAAAGAAUCGUUAAACGGUUACCCCCCUGAAUACAACUCCAUCAAGUCCACCGGGAUGAAAAGAGAAACGUUAUUCGACACCGGACAUUUGUGCAAAAAGUGCAUCUCUCAUUUCAACGUCUUCAAAAGGGAAGCGUUAAAACAAGUAACUGACGAAAAUCUUUCUACUAAAGAUCCCAAAGUCUUCAUUCAUCUUUAUGAGAGCAUGAAACCACCUGCUAUUACUGUAGAAGCCUGGGGCAAUGCGGAUGGACGCUGUGGCGUCUGCUCCGCUCACUUUAGCCAGCUGAAGCAGGAGGCUAUCCGCACGAUCCUCACCCAGGACCGGGCCAUAUGGGCUCCACCUACCACUGCCAACAUCCCAUCCACAAGCCUAGACCCAGGCUCACAAACGCUCCCCAGAACCUCAAGCCACCGAUCUGUUGUCUCAGACCCCCAU
rnacentral:lncRNA from 1 species